CUUGCCAACAAAGGAAGUUGAGCCAAAACCAAGGUUUGUCAAAAGAAGCCAGAUGACUCCACAGUCUUUACAUCACCACUCCAUCACCAUAGCCACUAAGUCCCAUAGCCACUGGAUGUUCCCACACCUCUCCCUCCAUCUGCACUUCAUGGCUUGAUACCUUGCAGUGAUGAUAUGAGUAAUCAUGAUGCCACCAUGUACCAAGAAUUACCCACAUCCUAUUUUCCCCUUACCCCUCUGAAGGAAAUAACCUCUGUGUUCUUGAACAUAUACACAACCCAAUCCCAAAAUCCUGCUUUGAGAUUCUGUUUUCGGAGCAUAAAUUGAACCAACUU
rnacentral:lncRNA from 1 species